CUCCUAGAAGCUUAUUUGGUACAUAACCUGGUACCUGAUCUCAGUGGGGAAAAGCCAAAUAAUCUCCUCUUUUAUGGCCAUGAGCAGCAAUGAAGAGGAAGAUAAUCUAAGCUCCAGCAAUGGCAGUUUUGCCAACAGAUUCCCACAUCUGUUGUAACUGAAGUGUGGUAAUUGGUUGCUAAGCCAUGCAAUUGGUUGCUAGGCUCCCUUCCCCCUUUGGCCCCAACACACUUCAGCAACUGGAAGUUAAUAAUCUGCCAGCAAAUUAAAUUUGGUGAAAAGAUCAGACAGCAUGUUAAUCGGAAACCAGGUGAUCCAAGCUCAUCUCUGAGGACUGUCUGACCUUCUAUCAAGUACACCCCCUCUGUGAGCUACUGUCUCCCUACCAGAUGUACGAACUCCUGGGCCUCUGUGAAUCUAAAGGGGGAUGCAUACAUUUCUUUGAGCUACUAUAAACAUCUUCAUAUCUUCA